AUUGCUGAUUUCUGUAAACUUGGGGUUUUAUGGGUUUCAGUUUGUUUUCUGUUGUUUACAGGGCUUUUUUUGUUUUGGUUUGGGUUUUUUUUGAUCAUGGAUUUUGGUGUUGUAGGUCAGAGAGCUGAUGCUGAGGAUGACAGCUUCUAAGGUGUUUCAAAGUGAGAACCCCAGUUGCUGCUCCUGCUGCACCAGGGAGAGAAGCCUGGUGUGAGUAUGAGUGAAGGAGCAGUGAAUCCAGGAGACUUCGCUUGUGUGGUGAAGAUGGACAGCUACUGCAUCACAGAAAGCAGCAUGUGUAACAGCAAUGAGAGUCAGAAUCAGUCUUGCCCUUCUCACUCCUCCAACUCCCUCUGCAGAUCACUCAUAUGAGAGCUGUAAUAUCAGAGCUGCUUCUGAGCAUUGCUGAAGAUAUGGAACACUGAAAUCUUUUUUUUUGUCAAGCCUCCAAGAGCAAAUAGCAGCAGAGUUAUUGCAGAUACCUGCCUGGCAUCCAUUUGCCACCAUGGUGAAGUGUCAGUCUGCUUUAGGUCCUGCGUCAUCUCUGCUAUUCCUGUGCAGCUAUCCUGGGUGAUUUACAGCCUUCUCAAAUGGCACUGGGCACCUGUGCAUGGGACAGGAAUCCUGGCCUUUGCUUUGUGAAUCAGCACACUCCUGGAGGGCCACAACAGUGUGGUCAUGGCCACAGCCAAGCAUGGCAGCAGUGAGCAAGUUGCACAAAUCUUUGAAAAGGAUGAUUGAAGUGUUUUGGUUUGGUUUGGUUGGAAGACUGUACUAGCUUGCCAGGGGGAAUUCAGAGGAAACCAGACUAUUUUCCCAAAGAGAAGAGAAAUGAAUUCCUCAUGGAAGGUGCCCUGUGGACAACUCCUUUUUAUCUUUACAAGUCCUGGAGAAACAGCAGUGGAUUCCCUUGCCUUACUUCCCCCCCUAGGCUACUCCCCUGCACGUGUCUCUCACAUAAGGAGCUCUGUUUGCUCUCCUUCUUUUCUGUGGAGGAGAUAUCCAAGGAAAUGGCAUUCAGAAGGAAGUUAAAAAAGGAGGAGAACAAAGGAGCACAGUUGUCGUUGUUGCAGUGAAACUUCAGUAUAGAGACACCCCAGGAUGAUUUUCUUAAAUUUUGAGUUCUGGGCAUAUGCUGAAUUAUACAUCUACCUCUACAGGUUUGUGAUUUUCAUUUUCCAUUCUUCUUUCACUAGCAAAGUAACUUGGGUUUGAAUGGAGGCAGUAUGUCAGAUUUAAAUAAUAUACAGGAAGGAUGAAAUUCUAGCAGUUUUUUCAGGGAACAUGACAACUCUGGGAUAACUGUUUUAUCUCUAGGAAGUCUUCAAACAUCACAAGGUAAAAUUCUUGGCAUCUCUAAGGAGUUUUGAAUGGCCCACAUGACAUGAGUUGCUGUCGGUUCUCUAGUUGUCAGAGCCCUCACAGCUCAAAAACUUCACCUGUGGUCUUCCCCCACCGCUGUCCACAGGCUCUGGAGCUUCCUCAGUCCCUGCCUGAGCAAGACUGUGGUCAUGGGCCCCACUGAGCCUGAGCCUGACCCGUGGGCUGAUGGCCUUGACCCCUCACUUGUUUACCGCAAACCUGUUCAAAGAUCGUGAUCCCAGCUGCACUCACUGGGUGUGAUCCUGGCCUGCAGAUAGACUUCCAGCUCCACCUUGGAUUUACCUCAUCGCCACACACUUGUCCAGUUGUCUGAACUCUUGGUUGGAUAUCAGCUGCUGUCUAUAGUCCUGCCCUGCUGGCAGUCCUGUCCUCACUGGGACAGCCAGGACUCUGCCCUGGUGACACUGCCCUUGGCUCCCUGUUCUCUGGGAGAGCAGCUGCCCUUGCUGCUUCCUGACACUAAUGCAGAAGCUCUUAUCUUAUCAAAACACUAUUGCAGACCAAAACCAGAUGCCAGUCUUUACCCCGCAGUAGCCAUAAGGUGAUUUCCAGUGUUGGUGAGUUUCUGGGGGAACAGGGGAGUAUUGCUAAGCCCAUCCAAUGAAGUGAGCUCCUGUUAACAGUGCACUUGUUUUGUGAGCAGAGGAUUUCUCUCAAUUAUUAUCCUAGAAUAGCCACAGAGCUUUAACAUAAAAAUCCCAUUUUCUUUUAAUGCAUCUUUGAAAAAUACUCCAAGAAAUGAGGAUUUUAGCCUGAGCAGUUCUGUUAUGAGCUAAAAAUCACAUGGCUGAGUUGGGACUUGGCCUUUAGGCCCAUUUCACUACAAAGUCUAGCUGCAACCUAGAAUAGACUGGAAGAGUCUUUUUUUCUCUUGAACUCAUAGAAGUACUGCAAACCCAAGACAAGCAGACUAUACAAUCUACACAAUCUACAGACUAUACAAUCAAUACAUCAGUUGUUCCUCAUAAGAGAAUGCAACUAUUAGAGUUUAGAGUUAGUAUGAACAUCUUUCUGAUUGAAAGGAUUUUUAAUAUAUUUAUUUCUUAACUGACCUUGGUUUUGCUAACCAAAACAA